CCCUUAGAUGUUCUGGGCCGCACGCGCGCUACACUGAUGCAUUCAACGAGUCUAAAACCUGCUCUGAUAGGGGUGGGUAAUCUUUUGAAUGUGCAUCGCGAUUGGGAUAGAUGAUUGCAAUUUUUCAUCUUCAACGAGGAAUGCCUAGUAAACGCAAGUCAUCAGCUUGCAUUGAUUACGUCCCUGCCCUUUGUACACACCGCCCGUCGCUCCUACCGAUUGAAUGAUCCGAUGAAUAUCAUGGAUUGAGGAUGUAAGCAGGUUCGCCUGUCUUCAUCUUCGAGAAGUGAAGUAAAUCUUAUCAUUUAGAGGAAGGAGAAGUCGUAACA
rnacentral:rRNA from 1 species